UACGUAGGGUGCAGGCGUUAAUCGGAAUUACUGGGCGUAAAGCGUGCGCAGGCGGUCUUUUAAGUCAGAUGUGAAAUCCCCGGGCUUAACCUGGGAACUGCGUUUGAAACUGGAAGGCUAGAGUGUGGCAGAGGGGGGUGGAAUUCCACGUGUAGCAGUGAAAUGCGUAGAUAUCAGGAGGAACACCGGUGGCGAAGGCGCCUACGUCGUGGC
rnacentral:rRNA from 1 species